UAAUGAAGUGCUUACGGGCAUUCCUUGGGUGAGCAAGUAUUUCUAAUAUUUGGGGAGAGGAAAUAAGGAAAACCCAACUAUUGUGUGCUUAUGAGAAAAGGGAAACGGGGUGAGUGGGUUUUCCUCCCCCCAGGUUACACCCAUAUCGCCCAGAUGAAUCCUGUGUGGUUUGGGAUUGUGUGGGCACCAUUUUCCACGACCGUGCCAGCCAGUGCUCUCAGCCUCAACCCAGCCCUCUAACCUGAACUUUUUUCUCUCAGUUUGGCAGCGAGAGCAGCAGAGUGCGGCAGAGAGAGCAGAGCGAUCGGACCCGUCAGGAGCAAACAGCCGGAGGCAGUAGCCCAGCAGCCAGAGGCAGUAGCCCAGCAGCCGGAGGCAGUAGCCCAGCAGCCGGAGGCACUGUUUUCGGAAUCGGGCUCCAGAGAGUCAUUAAAGCAAACAUGACAACAUCUGGAUAUUAUUUCUCAGGCAAGAACAAAGCACGUUCUUUUUCACCAUCAUUUAACCGUCAACACGUUUUCCACAUGCAGGCAGGACGGGUAAGUUUCCCCCAGAUAAACAUGGAAGCUUUGAACUAUUAGAACAAAGUCAUUAAGGGAUCGGGAAAGCAGUCCAUUUCUUUAGAUCUAAAAAUAAAGCAAGAGUUUAAAACUGUUUGGCAGCAUCUCUCCUGUUGAAAUAUUUCGAUAAGCAACGUUCCCUCUUACCUGUGAGGAUCAGUGUGCAGACUUCUUGCGAGAGGUUGUCAUGGCAAGGUAAAUGAUGAACUGCAGGCUGGCGGUAUUUGGAGAGGUGAGCGGGUGUUUUGUAGUGGUGUUUUUUUCCCCCCCAAAAUGAAGAAAAGUCUCUCGUUAGUCACUGUCACUCCAGAAACAAGUCGGUACAAGUUUAAGUAGGAAUUACCUGAAUGGAGGGAGGGAGAGAAGAGAGAGAGAGAAAUCUGAGAAAAGAGUCAAUGAUGUCAGCAGUAUGUCUUAAGGAAAUCUACAGCCUCCGAUCAGCACCCAACCCCUGUGCUAUGCAAAUACCUGCCUCGAAGGAAACUGAUGCACUUUUAAAGAAUGCCAGUUAAUCUUUGAAGAAAUUUUAGCCACUCUGAUCAAAGUCCCCUUAAGAUCCUUCUGCCUAAAUAGGCUCCAAACAAAUAACUAUAUUACCUUUGCACAGCCCUCCUCCACCCUAUCUAGUAACGCCCCCCCACCCCCCCCCCACCCCAAAUCAGCAUUAAUGACAAUCCCUGCCUUCUAGAAAGAGGGAAAUUGGAACCUGAUUGAACUAAAUUCAAACCAGGAGUAUUUUACUAGGCUGAACAUACUAAUCAUGGUCACAAGCAAAAUAUCAGCGAUGGAAACUCGGGUUUCCAGCCCAAGUGGCCCCCGAGCUUCCUCUCCUUCUUUGGGACCUGUCGGCUUUUCUUUCUUAUGUGCCGUUUCUUGUACUAGUUACAGGAUCUGAAACCGAAGGGGAGGCGAAUGGGGAUUGCAGAGGCAGUCAGGGUGUUUAGAAGGUGAGAAUUGUGUUACUUGCCUCCCUUUCUAAACUAAAAAUGCCCAAAAUGUCU
rnacentral:lncRNA from 1 species